rnacentral:rRNA from 1 species
UACAGAGGGGGCAAGCGUUGUUCGGAAUUACUGGGCGUAAAGGGCGCGUAGGCGGCCUGCUAAGUCGAACGUGAAAUCCCCGGGCUCAACCCGGGAACUGCGUCCGAUACUGGUUGGCUUGAAUCCGGGAGGGGGAUGCGGAAUUCCAGGUGUAGCGGUGAAAUGCGUAGAUAUCUGGAGGAACACCGGUGGCGAAGGCGGCAUCCUGGACCGGCAUUGACGCUGAGGCGCGAAAGCCAGGGGAGCAAACGGG